UAUUCCUUCUUGAAACGCGCGGCUUAGAGUUUCAUAUGACCAUUUUGCAUUUGAGAAAGAGAAAUCCCGCCCGCAUCGUCCUCCCUCGUCGCCCAGCACCCACUUUGAAAUCGUCAUUGUCGUCGCCGACCCUCUCGCCACCAACCACCGAGUCUUUGAAAUCGCCGUCUCCGUCCCUCUCUUCGCUAAGCACAGUCUUUGAAAAUGGAGGCAACGAAGACCAUAGCACACGAGAUCGGAGGUUGAAGCAAUUCUUUGAGGAAGGUCCUUUGACACAUGGGUCCAUACAGUACAAAACCACGUCCAAAAAUUUGUGAAAAGCUCGCAGCGCAGUUGUACCACCAGGUCCAGAAGAAGCAAGCUGAGAUUGCUCCCAAAAAGCUAGUGGACAAGACUUUGAAGGACAAUACAAUUUAGAGUGUAAAACAAUUGAGCGGGCUUGCCAAGAGGUCAUGGGAUGUUCUGAUACUGAUGUUGCUGAAUAUCUAUAUUGCUCCAAGCCACAAUUUGAUUCAUUGGUCAACUUUUUAUGUAAAGACCUUACUAAAGCAUGCAGUACCAAGCCACCUCCAGGAGAACUUUUUGUGCCCAAGUCAUCCAAAGAGGUAGAAAUGGAAAAGAUAUUGAAAUCUAUGGAUGUGAUCAUUUUGUCAUUGCUCUAUAACAUCUGCCUUCUUUAUAAGGUGGAUUGAAGAUUGAUUACGAAUCAUUUACAACUACUUUGGCUUUCUCAAAAGAGCCUUCCGCUAUAAUAUAGGAUUUGUAACCAAGAGUUAUGGUGAGUAAAUGUAAAGGUAAUGUAUUUGAGUACUUGGUUGUAAACAUUACUCUCUUGAUUGUAAAUAUUAUGUACUUGAGAAUGAAUAAGCAGUUUCAGUUUUUCAUUUUA